UCCCUGGCAGUCCAGUGGUUAGGACUCUGCAUUUUCACUGCUGAGAGCACUGGUUCAACCCCUGGUCGGGAAA
rnacentral:tRNA from 1 species